rnacentral:lncRNA from 1 species
CAAUGAAGGAGCUUAUAAAGCUUCAGAGUAUACUUAUUCACUCGGAUAUUAAGUCUCUUUCAGAAAGGAGUAAUAGUGAGGCACUGUGACUUCCAUUUUAAAGACCAUGUGGCAAGGUGAUGGGAGAGAGUGUUUCUGACAUUCGGAGGAAAGCUGACUGCUGCUUUUAUUUAUCUAUAGGAGAGGUGGGUGACACCGUUUUCAGAAAAUACCAUACAGAUCUCGUUUCUUUCCAUGAUGGUCUCGAACACAGGAGUUUGGAGCUGCAGUGUUGAGAAUUGUCACAGGCAGCCAGUGGAAACCUGAACUUCUUGCCACUAAGAGUGUUUGGUACAAGCUCCUAGUAACCAAGGAUAUCAUCUGCCUGUUGACAACAUCUCAAGACAAUUCUGUGAAC